AUUGAACGCUGGCGGCAGGCCUAACACAUGCAAGUCGAACGGUAACAGGAAACAGCUUGCUGUUUCGCUGACGAGUGGCGGACGGGUGAGUAAUGUCUGGGAAACUGCCUGAUGGAGGGGGAUAACUACUGGAAACGGUAGCUAAUACCGCAUAACGUCGCAAGACCAAAGAGGGGGACCUUCGGGCCGCUUGCCAUCGGAUGUGCCCAGAUGGGAUUAGCUAGUAGGUGGGGUAACGGCUCACCUAGGCGACGAUCCCUAGCUGGUCUGAGAGGAUGACCAGCCACACUGGAACUGGGACACGGUCCAGACUCCUACGGGAGGCAGCAGUGGGGAAUAUUGCACAAUGGGCGCAAGCCUGAUGCAGCCAUGCCGCGUGUAUGAAGAAGGCCUUCGGGUUGUAAAGUACUUUCAGCGGGGAGGAAGGGAGUAAAGUUAAUACCUUUACUCAUUGACGUUACCCGCAGAAGAAGCACCGGCUAACUCCGUG
rnacentral:rRNA from 1 species